rnacentral:rRNA from 1 species
UGGAGUUCAGACGUGUGCUCUUCCGAUCUCUUGGCGACAACAGGCGAUGAAGGACGUAGUAGCCUGCGAUAAGUCACGGGGAGCUGGCAAACAAGCUUUGAUCCGUGAAUUUCCGAAUGGGGAAACCCACCCAGCUUGCUGGGUACUGUGCACUGAAUACAUAGGUGUAUGGAGCGAACCCGGGGAACUGAAACAUCUAAGUACCCGGAGGAAAAGAAAUCAACCGAGAUUCCGCAAGUAGUGGCGAGCGAACGCGGAGUAGCCCUUAAGUGUGUGAAACCUAGCAGAACAGUCUGGAAAGGCUGGCCAUAGUGGGUGAUAGCCCCGUAUGCGAAAGGCCAAACACAUGAAAUCGAGUAAGGCGAGGCACGUGAAACCUUGUCUGAACAUGGGGGGACCAUCCUCCAAGGCUAAAUACUCGUUGUCGACCGAUAGUGAACCAGUACCGUGAGGGAAAGGCGAAAAGAACCCCGGCUAGGGGAGUGAAAUAGAACCUGAAACCGGAUGCGUACAAGCAGUCAGAGCGGACUUGUUCCGUGAUGGCGUACCUUUUGUAUAAUGGGUCAGCGACUUACUUGUCUGUAGCAAGCCUAACCGAAUAGGGGAGGCGCAGGGAAACCGAGUCUGAAUAGGGCGCAUAGUUGCAGGCAGUAGACCCGAAACCCGUCGAUCUAUCCAUGACCAGGGUGAAGUUGUGGUAACACACAAUGGAGGCCCGAACUCACGCCUGUUGAAAAAGUCGGAGAUGAGUUGUGGAUAGGAGUGAAAGGCUAAUCAAGGCGGGUGAUAGCUGGUUCUCCUCGAAAGCUAUUUAGGUAGCGCCUCGUGUAUGACUCCGGGGGGUAGAGCACUGUUACGGUCUGGGGGGUGCACAAGUACCUACCCAACUGUUGCAAACUCCGAAUACCCGGAAGUAUUGAGCACGGGAGACACACGGUGGGAGCUAAAUUCCAUCGUGAAAAGGGAAACAGCCCUGACCGCCAGCUAAGGUCCCAAAAUCUCAGCUAAGUGGGAAACGAUGUGGGAAGUCACAGACAGCCAGGAUGUUGGCUUAGAAGCAGCCAUCAUUUAAAGAAAGCGUAAUAGCUCACUGGUCGAGUCGGCCCGCGCGGAAGAUGUAACGGGGCUCAAGCUGAGUACCGAAGCUGCGGAUGCACACGCAAGUGUGUGUGGUAGAGGAGCGUUCUGUAAGCCUGUGAAGGUGACUCGUAAGGGUUGCUGGAGGUAUCAGAAGUGCGAAUGCUGACAUGAGUAACGACAAGAACGGUGAAAAACCGUUCCGCCGUAAGCCCAAGGGUUCCAGCGCAACGAUAUUCGGCGCUGGGUGAGUCGGAUCCUAAGGCGAGGCCGAGAGGCGUAGUCGAUGGAAAACGGGUUAAUAUUCCCGUACUUGCGAUUGCUGCGAUGGGGUGACGGAGAAAGUUAGGGUGGCUUCCUGUUGGAUGGGAGUUCAAGCGUUUAGGCAGGUCUCUUAGGCAAAUCCGGGAGAUCAAUGCUGAGGCGUGACGUCGAGGCUCAAUUGAGCCGGAGCACCUGAUACUCAGCUUCCAAGAAAAGCCUCUAAGCUUCAGGCAGUCGUGAUCCGUACCCCAAACCGACACAGGUGGGCGAGGAGAGUAUCCUAAGGCGUUUGAGACAACUCGGAUGAAGGAACUCGGCAAAUUGGUGCCGUAACUUCGGGAGAAGGCACGCCCACGCAAGUGGGCCGCAGUGAAGAGGGAGUGGCAACUGUUUAUCAAAAACACAGGACUCUGCAAACACGAAAGUGGACGUAUAGGGUCUGACACCUGCCCGGUGCUGGAAGGUUAAUUGAUGGGGUCAACCGCAAGGUGAAGCUCUUGAUCGAAGCCCCAGUAAACGGCGGCCGUAACGAUAACGGUCCUAAGGUAGCGAAAUUCCUUGUCGGGUAAGUUCCGACCUGCACGAA